GUCUAAGGCGAUAGCGCCCUGAACGCACCCUAUCUCAUCUGAUCUCGGAAGCUAAGCAGGGUCGGGCCUGGUUAGUACUUGGGUGGGAGACCGCCUGGGUAUACCGGGUGC
rnacentral:rRNA from 1 species